AUGUCCAUACCACGCUGAAUACGCCGGUUCCUAUUCGAUCACCAAGGCUGAGCACCGUCAAGCGCAAUCAUUACUUGGAUGGGUAACCGUCUGAGUACACCACGCGAUGUU